ACACACUACAGUUGGUGGUUGUGCCGCCCUGAGCCUCCAGUAGGCGAGUUUUGUGUUUAAGGAGAAACUAACAAUGAAAACGGCCUCGUUGACGGAGGAAAAGUUGGAAUGCAGCCUCUGGUGCUGUUUGAGCGAUCCCUCUCCCCGGGGCCUGGCCGCGCGCUGCUGUGUUCUGGAAGGGCUCAUUGUACAGUCAAGGCGGCAGGGCCUUCUUCUGUCACCCAUGCUGGAGUGCAGUAGCAUGAUCACAGCUCACGGUAGCCUCCACCUUCUGGGCUCAAUCCUCCUACCUCAGCCUUCCAAGUAGCUGGGACUACAGUCUUGAGGAUCCAUUUUCUGAGACGGUGAUGGGAAAGAUGUUGGUUGUCAAGUGGAAUCUCAGCAGUCAUUUUCAGACAAAGUUAGAGAAAACAAGUAUGGAAGAUGCCUGAUUCUCAAAGAGUCAUCCAGUCUUGGGAUUACCGCCUACGUCCAUGGAAGUGAAAGUCCUCUUUUUCUUUGUACCACUUACUGAGGCUGAAGAGGAAGAGGAAGAGCAGGUGUUGGUCUUGAUGUCUCAGGGCAGGCAGAGGUGGAAGAGAAUCUGUGUGUAAAGCACCUGCACAGUUCAAACCCAUGCUGUUCGAGGGUCAACUGCAUUCUUGAAAAUUGCUAAAAGACUCCAUUGUAAGUGUUGUCACCACAAAAAAUAGUAAGCAUGUAAUGUCAUGCAUAUGUUAAAUCAGCUCAAUUUAGCCAUUCCACAAUGUAUACAUUUUUGAAAACGUAAUGUACACAAUAUAUAUAAUUUUGUCAAUUAAAA
ensembl:lncRNA novel transcript